rnacentral:lncRNA from 1 species
AAGCAUAGAACAACCAUAGGCAUUGUCCGUUGUUGUAGAACCGUAAAAUUGGCUAUGCAAGGUAAUUGACAUGUGCACACCCUGGUAAUUUAGAAACACACCCAAGAUCUAAAAUCCUAGCUAAGACCCUGCAUGCAACACAAAUUAUCAAACAUGUAUUGCAGGUCACAACAGCUGCUAUAGAAGUAAACAGAAAAUUUUAUUACAAGUCAACAAGAUGUGUUCACAGCUAUGCUUGUUCCCAGUUGUUGACAAGUCUGGAACAAAUUGUUAUCAUCUUGUAACAAGGUUGAUGUGACCAGCAGACAUACAGCAAGUUGUUCCAACAAGUCUGAUAUCGUCUGCACGUAACAAACUAUUAACAAGUAGAUGACAAGCUUGUAGCGACUUGUUACAAACAGCCUGUAUUGCAUGGUCUUGUUGGAACAACAUGCCGGCAUCAACUUUGUAACAAGAUGAUAACAACUUGUUCCAGACUUGUCACAACAACUGGGAACAAGCAGUGUGAACACAUUCUGAUAUCUGCUUGACAACAACCUUCAUGUUGCAACUUGUUAGCAGAUCUGUAACAACUUUUAUGUGUGUACAGUUGGGUAAUCCAGUCAAUAGAAACUUUCUCAAUGUUUGUAAAAUUAAUAUGCUCAUUGAAAGAUAAUUAUAUCUAUUAUGUAACUACAUGUAACAAUAUCAUUUGCUCUUCUCUAUAAUCUUUCUUAAGGGGUGGACCAUUAGAAAAGUGGCCGGGGG